rnacentral:rRNA from 1 species
UACAGAGGUCCCAAGCGUUACUGAGAAUCACUGGGUUUAAAGGGUGCGUAGGUGGUCCGUUAAGUCAGUUGUGAAAUCCCCGGGCUCAACCCGGGAACUGCUUCCGAUACUGGCGGACUUGAGGCCAGUAGGGGUCACUAGAACUGACGGUGGAGCGGUGAAAUGCGUAGAUAUCGUCAGGAAUGCCGGUGGUGAAGACGGGUGACUGGGCUGGUUCUGACACUGAGGCACGAAAGCGUGGGGAGCAAACAGG